UACGGAGGAUCCAAGCGUUAUCCGGAAUCAUUGGGUUUAAAGGGUCCGUAGGCGGUUUAGUAAGUCAGUGGUGAAAGCCCAUCGCUCAACGGUGGAACGGCCAUUGAUACUGCUAGACUUGAAUUAUUAGGAAGUAACUAGAAUAUGUAGUGUAGCGGUGAAAUGCUUAGAGAUUACAUGGAAUACCAAUUGCGAAGGCAGGUUACUACUAAUUUAUUGACGCUGAUGGACGAAAGCGUGGGUAGCGAACAGG
rnacentral:rRNA from 1 species